rnacentral:lncRNA from 1 species
CCUUGCUCCAGUGUAUAUUUUCAAUUUUUUCUUUACAAUGUUUAAGUCUACCCAACCAUAUACCUUCUGUCUUAGAUUUAUUCACUUUUAAACCAGAAAUCGUUCCAAAUAUUUCUAUUAGGUUCAAUGCUUGGUGAAUUUCAUUUUUAGAAUUGAGAAAGAGGGUUGUAUCAUCAGCCAAUUGGGAAAUGUUUAGACUAUGUGUUUUUUCAUCAAGUUUAAUUUGAAAUCCUUUUAUGUUAGAGUCUUGUCUUACUCUACAGGCCAAGAUUUCAACUGCUAUUACAAAAAUAAGAGAACUUAACGGACAUCCUUGUUUUAUACCACGGUGAAGUCUAUAGGUUUCUGAGAUCCAGCCGUU